AUAAAUAUGUAGAAUCGUGGCCGGGCGUGGUGGCGCACGCCUUUAAUCCCAGCACUUGGGAGGCAGAGGCUGGCCUCAAACUCAGAGAUUUCCUUGCCUUUGCCUUCCAAGUGCUGGGACUAAAGGCUUGUGCCUCCACCACCUGCUCAAUACAUUUCUUUCAAGGGAUGACUUAUUUCAUUUGUUUAAGAAGAUUCUUUUUAAACCACACUUAAGGAGAAUUACUAACAUUGUUUUUUCUUUGUGUACACCUUUAACUAUGUACUAAAAGCAAGACUCAAGGCUUUCAUCAUUUUGUAUUAAACUUUCCAGUGACUUUAUUACCCCAUAGUUCACCUUAAGCUAUGAAGAAUGAGAUUGCUUCCUCAAAUUUACUUGUCCUGUUAGUUCGUCCUUAAGAACUUAGACUAAUGUUACCACUCAGUCGUUUAGUUUCCAUUUCCCUUUGCUCUCCAUUAUCAUCACAGCCUCAUCUCUGCUGGCUCUGGGUUUUCUGAAAGGUAGAUUGUACUA
rnacentral:lncRNA from 1 species